UACGUAGGGUGCAAGCGUUGUUCGGAAUCAUUGGGCGUAAAGCGCGUGUAGGUGGUUUGUUAAGUCGAUUGUGAAAUCCCUGGGCUCAACCGAGGAAGUGCAGUCGAAACUAACUGACUAGAAGAUGGUAGAGGAAGGUGGAAUUCCAAGUGUAGAGGUGAAAUUCGUAGAUAUUUGGAGGAAUACCAGCGGCGAAGGCGGCCUUCUGGGCCAUUCUUGACACUGAGACGCGAAAGCGUGGGUAGCAAACAGG
rnacentral:rRNA from 1 species